AGUUAUAUGCUCGUCUCAAAGAUUAAGCCAUGCAAGUGUAAGUACACGCCCUUUAGUACGGCGAGACUGCGGACGGCUCAUUAAAUCAGUUAUGGUUCCUUAGAUCGUACACCGAGGCGGCCGCGCCUCCCUACUUGGAUAACUGUGGCAAUUCUAGAGCUAAUACAUGCAACACGGCUCCGACCUCGUUCGCGCGGGGAACGAGCGCUUUUGUUAGCCUCAAAGACCAGUCCGCGGUCCGGGUUCGCCCGGGCCCGGCUCUUGUGAUGACUCUGAACAACUUUGUGCCGAUCGCACGCCCUUUUGCGGCGGCGACAGAUCUAUCAAGUGUCUGCCCUAUCAACUGUCGAUGGUAGUCGCUCUGCCUACCAUGGUGACAACGGGUAACGGGGAAUCAGGGUUCGAUUCCGGAGAGGGAGCAUGAGACACGGCUACCACAUCCAAGGAAGGCAGCAGGCGCGCAAAUUACCCACUCCCGACACGGGGAGGUAGUGACGAAAAAUAUCAAUGCGGGUGUCCGCCGGACAUCGCGUAAUUGGAAUGAGUGGACUCUAAAUCCUUUUACGAGGAGCGAUUGGAGGGCAAGUCUGGUGCCAGCAGCCGCGGUAAUUCCAGCUCCAAUAGCGUAUACUAAAGUUGCUGCGGUUAAAAAGCUCGUAGUUGGAUCUCGACGGCGGGCGCGAGGUGCGUCCAGGGCGGCGUUCACUUUGCGUCGCAGCCUCUCCGUUCGGCUCAGCGUCCCCUGGUGCUCUUGACCGGGCGUCCAGGGGCGGCCGAAACGUUUACUUUGAAGAAAUUGGAGUGCUCAAAGCAGGCAAACCCACGCCUGGACAAUGGUGCAUGGAAUAAUGGAAUAGGACCUCGGUUCUAUUUUGCUGGUCUUCGGAGCUCGAGGUAAUGAUUAAAAGGGACUGCCGGGGGCAUUCGUACUGCGGCGCGAGAGGUGAAAUUCCGGGACCGUCGCAAGACGAACGAGAGCGAAAGCAUUUGCCAAGAAUGUCCCCAUUAAUCAAGAACGAAAGUCAGAGGUUCGAAGACGAUCAGAUACCGUCGUAGUUCUGACCGUAAACCAUGCCAACCGUCGAUCCGCCGAAGCUCUGGGUGUACGGCUCGUGCACAACAAUGACUCGGCGGGCAGUCUCCGGGAAACCAGAGUUUUUGGGUUCCGGGGGGAGUAUGGUUGCAAAGCUGAAACUUAAAGGAAUUGACGGAAGGGCACCACCAGGAGUGGAGCCUGUGGCUUAAUUUGACUCAACACGGGGAACCUCACCCGGCCCGGACACCGGAAGGAUUGACAGAUUAAUGGCUCUUUCUUGAUUCGGUGGGUGGUGGUGCAUGGCCGUUCUUAGUUGGUGGAGCGAUUUGUCUGGUUAAUUCCGAUAACGAACGAGACUCUAGCCUGCUAAAUAGUUCCGCGGGCUCCUCAGCGACCCGCUCUCAAGAGAACUUCUUAGAGGGACUGGUGGCGCGUCGUAGCCACACGAGAUUGAGCAAUAACAGGUCUGUGAUGCCCUUAGAUGUUCGGGGCCGCACAUGCGCUACAAUGGAUGGAUCAGCGUGCGUCACGCCCGGCCCGAAAGGGUUCGGGAAACCCACUGAACCCCAUUCGUACCUGGGAUUGGGGCUUGCAAUUGUUCCCCAUGAACUCGGAAUUCCCAGUAGGCGCGAGUCAUCAGCUCGCGCCGAUUACGUCCCUGCCCUUUGUACACACCGCCCGUCGCUAGUACCGAUCGAUCCGGUUGAUGAGCCCUUCGGAUUGGUCCCUUGGGCCCGUCGUCGUUCGCUUCUUCGGGGGUGGCGGCGUGGGCUCUCGGAUGUUGCCGAGAAGAUGGGCGAAUUUCCCGGGUUAGAGGUCCUAAAAGUCGUAACAAGGUAU
rnacentral:rRNA from 1 species